GCGUAGCUAUCGCCCAGAGCUAGGGUUCCCCUUGAUUUGUAAUCUGGUUCCUUACCGCAAUGUAAUUUAAUCAGGAGGCUUCUGGUGAGGUGCCUUCCUAGUUCCCUGGAACGGGACGCCCUAGAGGGUGAGAGCCCCGUAUGGAUGGACACCAAGCCUGUGUGAAGCUCCUUCAACGAGUCGAGUAGAUUGGGAAUGCUGCUCUAAUGGGAGGUAAAUCUCUUCUAAAGCUAAAUACCGGCCACAUACCGAUUGCGCACAAGCAGAGUGAUCCAAAGAUGAAAAGCACCUUGAAAAGGGGGUUAAACAGUACGUGAAAUUGUUGAAAGGGAAGCGCUUGUGACCACACUUGCUCCGGGCGGUUCAUCUGGGGUUCUCCCCUGUGCACUCCGCCCGGCUCUUGCCAUCAUCGGUUCUCGUGGGAGGAUAAUAACGGUGGGAACCUGGCCCCCCUCCGGGGGGGUGUUAUAUCCCUUUGUACGAUACUCAUCUGGGGACCGAGGUUCCCGCUCCGCACGAUGCUCGCGUACUGGCCAUCACCGACCCAUCUC
rnacentral:rRNA from 1 species